ensembl:snRNA U5 U5 spliceosomal RNA
AUACUCUGGUUUCUCUUCAGAUUGUGUAAAUCUUUCACCUUUUACUAAAGAUUUCCGUGGAAGAAUGCAUGUUUUCAUGAUGCAUCCAUAGAAAAUACUUCAUCAGCCCUAACUUACGUGCUA